ensembl:snRNA Rnu6-1286 RNA, U6 small nuclear 1286
GUGCUUGCUUCGCCAGCACAUAUACUAAAACUGGAAUGAUACAGGGAUUAGCACGGCCCUUCACAAGGAUAACAUGCAAAUUCGUGAAGUGUUCCAAAAUGCC